GGGCAUGCAGAAGACAUUAGAGAAUUUCAAGAACAUUAUCCUAUUAUCUUCGCCACAGGUAACAAAAUGCACCGAGGAAAACGAUUCAGAGAUGUGGAGUUCCAGUAGUCUCAGGUGGGAUCUUCUUCUACUCAGUCCAUGCGAUCCCAGCAGCCCCAGCAGCACGAGUCUGAGUCUCAGCAUGAGUUCCAGUCUCAGCAACAUCCAGGCCAGGAGGUUAUGGAUGACUUGCAUAUCCAAGAUGAACAAGUGAGAGUGAGGUUGACACGGGGUUCCUCUCGAGCACGGGAUGUGUGGCAGCUUCGUGAGGAUGAGAAGAUGGUCGUCGAAUGCAACGAACUAGGGCAGCCCAUCAAGAGGGCUGGAAGCCUUUUAUCAAGUUUCUUAGGAUCAGUUGCGCGUAGGGGUCAGUUGUGUCCGCUCAACUAUCAUAAGUGGAAUGAUAUGCUUCCUUCUUAUAAAGUUGAGCUUCUUAAAUUUGUACAGGUAAAGAAUUG